rnacentral:rRNA from 1 species
GUGAACGCUGGCGGUAGGCCUAACACCUGCAAGUCGAACGGCAGCACAGUAAGCGCUUGCUCUUACGGGUGGCGAGUGGCGGACGGGUGAGGAAUACAUCGGAAUCUACUUUUUCGUGGGGGAUAACGUAGGGAAACUUACGCUAAUACCGCAUACGACCUACGGGUGAAAGCAGGGGAUCUUCGGACCUUGCGCGAUUGAAUGAGCCGAUGUCGGAUUAGCUAGUUGGCGGGGUAAAGGCCCACCAGGGCGACGAUCCGUAGCUGGUCUGAGAGGAUGAUCAGCCACACUGGAACUGAGACACGGUCCAGACUCCUACGGGAGGCAGCAGUGGGGAAUAUUGGACAAUGGGCGCAAGCCUGAUCCAGCCAUACCGCGUGGGUGAAGAAGGCCUUCGGGUUGUAAAGCCCUUUUGUUGGGAAAGAAAAGCAGCAGGUUAAUACCCCGCUGUUCUGACGGUACCCAAAGAAUAAGCACCGGCUAACUUCGUG